rnacentral:rRNA from 1 species
GAUGAACGCUGGCGGCGCGCCUAACACAUGCAAGUCGAACGGCACCCCUCUCCGGAGGGAAGCGAGUGGCGAACGGCUGAGUAACACGUGGAGAACCUGCCCCCUCCCCCGGGAUAGCCGCCCGAAAGGACGGGUAGUACCGGAUACCCCGGGGUGCCGCAUGGCACCCCGGCUAAAGCCCCGACGGGAGGGGAUGGCUCCGCGGCCCAUCAGGUAGACGGCGGGGUGACGGCCCACCGUGCCGACAACGGGUAGCCGGGUUGAGAGACCGACCGGCCAGAUUGGGACUGAGACACGGCCCAGACUCCUACGGGAGGCAGCAGUGGGGAAUCUUGCGCAAUGGGGGGAACCCUGACGCAGCGACGCCGCGUGCGGGACGGAGGCCUUCGGGUCGUAAACCGCUUUCAGCAGGGAAGAGUCAAGACUGUACCUGCAGAAGAAGCCCC